AACGAACGCUGGCGGCAGGCUUAACACAUGCAAGUCGGGCGCCCCGCAAGGGGAGCGGCAGACGGGUGAGUAACGCGUGGGAAUCUACCUUUUGCUACGGAAUAACUCAGGGAAACUUGUGCUAAUACCGUAUGUGCCCUUCGGGGGAAAGAUUUAUCGGCAAAGGAUGAGCCCGCGUUGGAUUAGGUAGUUGGUGGGGUAAUGGCCUACCAAGCCGACGAUCCAUAGCUGGUCUGAGAGGAUGAUCAGCCACAUUGGGACUGAGACACGGCCCAAACUCCUACGGGAGGCAGCAGUGGGGAAUAUUGGACAAUGGGCGCAAGCCUGAUCCAGCCAUGCCGCGUGAGUGAUGAAGGCCCUAGGGUUGUAAAGCUCUUUCACCGGUGAAGAUAAUGACGGUAACCGGAGAAGAAGCCCCGGCUAAUUUCGUGCCAGCCGCCGCCGUAA
rnacentral:rRNA from 1 species